rnacentral:lncRNA from 1 species
UACUCCCAUAUUUAUAUUCAAAAGUGUUUGCACUAAUCAUGUGUUGAACUGACAGCCUUUUUUUCUAUUUAGAAGAUUCCUCCACCCUGCAUCUAUUGUUACAGAUCAAGAUGUUCCAAAUGAAAUUAUUCUAAAGGCCCAGUGGUAGAAGUGAGUGUCCAUGCUGCUGGGGUGACACUUGUGGAUUUCCCCUCCAUGCAGUGGUUGAAGCAGGGGAUGCUGUUCCAAUCUCUCCUGACAUGUGAAUGUGUUAGACAUGGAUGAAAGAAAUGUCAGAAGUUUUCCUGCUUCAAAGACAACUACAAUGUUUAUAAGAUGCAAUCCCCAGCUUUUUUGAAGCAGAGGGCCCACAAGAAAAGUACCCGUAUAUAUACAGAUACACACAUGUAUG